rnacentral:rRNA from 1 species
GACGAACGCUGGCGGCAUGCUUAACACAUGCAAGUCGAACGGAAAGGCCCUGCUUUUGUGGGGUGCUCGAGUGGCGAACGGGUGAGUAACACGUGAGUAACCUGCCCUUGACUUUGGGAUAACUUCAGGAAACUGGGGCUAAUACCGGAUAGGAGCUCCUGCUGCAUGGUGGGGGUUGGAAAGUUUCGGCGGUUGGGGAUGGACGCGCGGCUUAUCAGCUUGUUGGUGGGGUAGUGGCUUACCAAGGCUUUGACGGGUAGCCGGCCUGAGAGGGUGACCGGCCACAUUGGGACUGAGAUACGGCCCAGACUCCUACGGGAGGCAGCAGGGGGGAAUAUUGCACAAUGGGCGGAAGCCUGAUGCAGCAACGCCGCGUGCGGGAUGACGGCCUUCGGGGUGUAAACCGCUUUCGCCUGAGACGAAGCGUGAGUGACGGUAAUGGGUAAAGAAGCACCGGCUAACUACGUG